rnacentral:SRP_RNA from 1 species
UUUGGGGAAGUAGAUAAAGAUAAACUGCUUAAUCUAUCAGGUCCGAAAGGAAGCAGUAGGAGUAGUGAUUUCUUGUAUGUGCUUCCCCUUGGUU